rnacentral:lncRNA from 11 species
CAGCAUUUCUAUUGAAGUUUUUCCAGCACUUGAUGAGAGAAACCUGAAAGCUGUACUGUAUUUAUGUUAUUUCACCUGUAUUGAAUAUCAAGGUCUGUGGCAAGAUGAAUCAUUUAGAAAGCCCAAUGGAGUGCAUUUGCACAAGACAAUUGUUUCUGGGAGCAGCUGUAUCAGAAAAAAAGUUCAAAAGGUGCUAAAGCAUCUGUAAGCUGGGGAUUUUUAAGUAGGUAAACUCCAGCGGCUUCAUGUUACCUCCUCACAUCUCUGUCAACAAAACAUUAAAGUAACCAUCCUGUUUCUGGCAGGAAAAAGCCUAGACUGCUGCAGCAUCACAGACCGGGUUUUUAAGCAAAAGGUCAAUGGCUGCAACCUAAAGCAUCAACAAGAAAAGCCUCCAUGCCUGCUGUUCCUAGAGUUAACUGAGCCCAGAAUUGGCGGAAUGGAGUUAGUAGCAGAACAAUUAUGCCUGUGUCAGCUGCAAGGAAAACAUGACCCAAUUGAUUUGUAUUCUCCUCUUCUGCAAGUCAUCUGGCAUCCUCAACAGAACUGGUCCCAACAAGACCUUGGAAAGAUUGACUAUCCCACAAACAUCUUCACCUCACUAUGACAAUGUGAAGAAAAUGAUGCGAAAGUACUCUGUUUUUGUAGAAUGAUGUCAAAAACAUUAUUAAGUAUACCAAUAUAGAUUAAACAUAGCACCACAUGACAUAAUAUGAAUCCUAUAAUAUAUGAUACAACAGCAUAAAAGAACUUUUAUUGAAUAAAUUAGUGUCAUUAAUUUCAAAGUGAAAUAUAGCUGUAACCUUGUAUUUACUUUGACAUCAGUUCUCUUACACUAUGUUUCUGUUUUCACUCUGAUGAUAAGCAAAACAGUUUUUCUUAUCUCAAAGCUAAAUGCAAGGUGGUCCAUUUAGAUCCUAAAAUUUAGUCUUAAAGAUAUAAAAGAUAUUCAAGACUCCUAAUAAUAGUUUUGUUGUUGUUUUUGUUGUAUGCCUUGAAGUUGUUUCCAACUUAUGGUGACUCUAAGGUCUACCACAGGGGUUUUGUUUCAAUAUUUGUUCAGAAGGGGCUCGUUUUUGCCUUCCUCUGAGACUGAGAAUGCCAUUUGUCAAGGUCCUCCAGUGAGUUUUUAUGGUCGGUGGGGAUUUGAACCCUAGGACCCAUCUACACUGCCAAAUAAUGCAG